rnacentral:rRNA from 1 species
GACGAACGCUGGCGGCGUGCUUAACACAUGCAAGUCGAACGGAAAGGCCUUUUCGGAGGUACUCGAGUGGCGAACGGGUGAGUAACACGUGGGUGAUCUGCCCUGCACUCUGGGAUAAGCCUGGGAAACUGGGUCUAAUACCGGAUAGGACCGCACUUUAGUGUGUGUGGUGGAAAGUUUUUUCGGUGUAGGAUGAGCCCGCGGCCUAUCAGCUUGUUGGUGGGGUAAUGGCCUACCAAGGCGGCGACGGGUAGCCGGACUGAGAGGUUGGUCGGCCACAUUGGGACUGAGAUACGGCCCAGACUCCUACGGGAGGCAGCAGUGGGGAAUAUUGCACAAUGGGCGCCAGCCUGAUGCAGCGACGCCGCGUGGGGGAGGACGGCCUUCGGGUUGUAAACGCCUUUCGCCAGGGACGAAGCGUUUUGUGACGGUACCUGGAGAAGAAGCACCGGCUAACUACGUG